rnacentral:lncRNA from 1 species
AUCUUCAAAUGUCAAAAAACUCUCACUUCUCUUUUUAAUUCUUAGAUUCCUCCUCAUGUUCCAAGCUUGCACUCUAGUUCCAUAACUCCAUUAUACUCUACUUAUAUACUCAAUUGCUUGAAAGAUGCUCUCAAUAGAAGCACCAACUUUAUGUCAAGAAGGCAAGCCUUUUUAGGAGAAUAUAUGAUCUUUGAUUAUAAGUUGAUUAUAAAAAAUACAAUAUUAUCCAAAUAAAAUCAAAUAUAAAAAGAUAGCCCAAAGGUUGAAUACAAAUUUUAGAUUAAUUUCUUUCUUGUACCAAGAUGCAUCUAAUUUUUAAUUCUAAUCUCAAAUCUAAACCUCCUCUCACUAAAAUACUUGUAAUUUACUUAUUAUGAAAUUAAUCUAAAAAAAAUUUAGCUUAUUGAAUUUAAAUCAAAUUUUAAAUUUUAAAAUGUCAAAAUAAAUAAACAAGUUUCAAAAAAAUAAGAACCAAACCAAGAAAAAGUUGAUUGCUUACUAUAGCUAUAGCCUUCAAAACUAGUGUCUAUAAAUUUUUUUGAUUCUUCUUUAUUAUAGCUCUAUUUCUUUCAUACUAAAACUUAUUAGAAAGUUGAUAAAAAAAUCUAGUUUUUUUAAAAAAUUUCAAUAAAAAAAGAAAAAAAUGCAAUAAAAGGCAUAGAAAAUCUCAAAUUAGUCUUAAAACUUACA